GACGAACGCUGGCGGCGUGCCUAAUACAUGCAAGUAGGACGCCGUUGCGACCGGUUGAGUAACGCGUAGGUAACUACCUAUUAGAGGGGGAUAACUAUUGGAAACGAUAGCUAAUACCGCAUACUCUUAGAUGGACCUACGUUGUAUUAGCUAGUAGGUAGGGUAAUGGCCUACCGAGGCAAAGAUACAUAGCCGACCUGAGAGUGUGAUCGGCCACACUUGGACUGAGACACGGCCCAGACUCCUACGGGAGGCAGCAGAAGGGAAUAUUCGGCAAUGGGGGGAAGCCUGAACGAGCAACGCCGCGUGAGUGAAGAAGGUUUUCGGAUCGUAAAGCUCUGUUGUUAAGGAAGCGGUACUUAACCAGAAAGGGACGGCUAACUACGUGCCAGCCGCCGCGGUAAUAC
rnacentral:rRNA from 1 species